CGAAGUCGGAAUCGCUAGUAAUCGCGGAUCAGCAUGCCGCGGUGAAUACGUUCCCGGGCCUUGUACACACCGCCCGUCACACCAUGGAAGUCUGCAAUGCCCGAAGCCGGUGGCCUAACCACUUAUGUGGAAGGAGCCGUCUAAGGCAGGGCAGAUGACUGGGGUGAAGUCGUAACAAGGUAGC
rnacentral:rRNA from 1 species